GAUGGUCACAUUGAAGCACAUGUUCCCAUACAAUCACUGAAGUUAAGCAAUAUUGAGCCUGAUCAGUACUUAGAUGGGUGACCACUUGGGAAUACCACGUGCUGUGA